rnacentral:miRNA from 1 species
AUGCUCAGUUAAAUUUGAAUUUCAGGUAAACAGUGAACAGCUUCUCUUUGUAGUAAGAGUAUGUCUCCUGCAUUAUUUGGGAUAUACUUAUACUAAAAUCCAUUCAUUGUUUAUCUGAGAUUCAAAUUUAACUGGGUAUUCUAUA